GACGUAGGGCGCGAGCGUUGUCCGGAUUUAUUGGGCGUAAAGAGCUCGUAGGCGGCUUGUCGCGUCGAAUGUGAAAACUCGGGGGCUCAACUCCGAGCUUGCAUUCGAUACGGGCAGGCUAGAGUUCGGUAGGGGAGACUGGAAUUCCUGGUGUAGCGGUGAAAUGCGCAGAUAUCAGGAGGAACACCGGUGGCGAAGGCGGGUCUCUGGGCCGAUACUGACGCUGAGGAGCGAAAGCGUGGGGAGCGAACAGG
rnacentral:rRNA from 1 species